AGACCCGAAACCCGGUGAUCUAGCCAUGGGCAGGUUGAAGGUUGGGUAACACUAACUGGAGGACCGAACCGACUAAUGUUGAAAAAUUAGCGGAUGACCUGUGGCUGGGGGUGAAAGGCCAAUCAAACCGGGAGAUAGCUGGUUCUCCCCGAAAGCUAUUUAGGUAGCGCCUCGUGAAUUCAUCUCCGGGGGUAGAGCACUGUUUCGGCUAGGGGGCCAUCCCGGCUUACCAACCCGAUGCAAACUGCGAAUACCGGAGAAUGUUAUCACGGGAGACACACGGCGGGUGCUAACGUCCGUCGUGAAGAGGGAAACAACCCAGACCGCCAGCUAAGGUCCCAAAGUCAUGGUUAAGUGGGAAACGAUGUGGGAAGGCCCAGACAGCCAGGAUGUUGGCUUAGAAGCAGCCAUCAUUUAAAGAAAGCGUAAUAGCUCACUGGUCGAGUCGGCCUGCGCGGAAGAUGUAACGGGGCUAAACCAUGCACCGAAGCUGCGGCAGCGACACUCAGGUGUUGUUGGGUAGGGGAGCGUUCUGUAAGCCUGCGAAGGUGGCCUGUGAGGGUUGCUGGAGGUAUCAGAAGUGCGAAUGCUGACAUAAGUAACGAUAAAGCGGGUGAAAAGCCCGCUCGCCGGAAGACCAAGGGUUCCUGUCCAACGUUAAUCGGGGCAGGGUGAGUCGACCCCUAAGGCGAGGCCGAAAGGCGUAGUCGAUGGGAAACGGGUUAAUAUUCCCGUACUUGGUGUUACUGCGAAGGGGGGACGGAGAAGGCUAUGUUGGCCGGGCGACGGUUGUCCCGGUUUAAGCGUGUAGGUGUGUGUUCCAGGUAAAUC
rnacentral:rRNA from 2 species